rnacentral:rRNA from 1 species
AGAUUGAACGCUGGCGGCAUGCCUUACACAUGCAAGUCGAACGGUAACAGCACUUCGGUGGCUGACGAGUGGCGAACGGGUGAGUAAUACAUCGGAACGUGCCCGAUCGUGGGGGAUAACUACUCGAAAGAGUGGCUAAUACCGCAUACGAUCUACGGAUGAAAGCGGGGGAUCGCAAGACCUCGCGCGGACGGAGCGGCCGAUGGCAGAUUAGGUAGCUGGUGGGAUAAAAGCUUACCAAGCCGACGAUCUGUAGCUGGUCUGAGAGGACGACCAGCCACACUGGAACUGAGACACGGUCCAGACUCCUACGGGAGGCAGCAGUGGGGAAUAUUGGACAAGUGGGCGCAAGCCUGAUCCAGCCAUACCGCGUGGGUGAAGAAGGCCUUGGUUGUAAGUCCCGUUUUGUGGAAAGAAUCCUGCCGUUAAUAACCGAGUAGGAUGACGUACCAAAGAAUAAGCACCGACUAACUCGUGCCAGCAGCCG